AUGGCAGAUCCAGUAGCGGAUCCAGCUGCUCUGCCAAUCGUGCCUUGUCCGGAUUGCGGCAGGAACGUGGUGACCUACGUUGCUAGGCGCGGGCAGAACGCCGGUCAGCGUUUCUACAAGUGCCGGAAUCACAACCCUUCAGCGGGCGGAUGCGAUUUAUACAGGUGGCAGCAAGGCUAUGCGGCGCAUCUCGCCAAUCUUGAAGGAGGAGAAGCUGCUGUGGGUCAAAUCGGUCCGGGUCAGAUGCAGGGUGGGCAAGCGGUCCAAGCUCAAGUUGUGCAGGCGCUUCACGGCCAGCCGGUGCAGCAAAAUGGGCCGCCGGAGGCGUCGCAGGCUGCAUCGUUUGCAAGUGCUGUCGCAGGAUAUAUGCUCGCGGCUGCUCCAGUUGCCGGUCGGCAGGGUGUGACAGUCGCCGACGCCGCGUCCAUCAACCUGGUCGUAUCAGUAGCAAACCUGGUAAUUGGGGUGGCAAUUCUGCUGUUGCUUGUGGCAGAUGUUGUCCUGCGCGUGGUUAAUUAG
rnacentral:rRNA from 1 species